rnacentral:rRNA from 1 species
CAGCCGCCGCGGUAACACCGGCGGCUCGAGUGGUGGCCACUUUUAUUGGGUCUAAAGCGUCCGUAGCCGGCUUGGCAAGUCCCCUGGGAAAUCUGGCGGCUUAACCGUCAGGCGUCCAGAGGAUACUGCCAGGCUUGGGACCGGGAGAGGUGAGAGGUACCUCAGGGGUAGGGGUGAAAUCUUGUGAUCCCUGAGGGACCACCAGUGGCGAAGGCGUCUCACUAGAACGGGUCCGACGGUCAGGGACGAAAGCGGGGGGCACGAACCGGAUUAGAUACCCGGGUAGUCCCAGCCGUAAACGAUGCUCGCUAGGUGUCAGGCAUGGCAUGACUGUGCCUGGUGCCGAAGGGAAGCCGUGAAGCGAGCCACCUGGGAAGUACGGCCGCAAGGCUGAAACUUAAAGGAAUUGGCGGG